rnacentral:rRNA from 1 species
AAAUUGAAGAGUUUGAUCAUGGCUCAGAUUGAACGCUGGCGGCAGGCCUAACACAUGCAAGUCGAGCGGAAACGAGUUAUCUGAACCUUCGGGGAACGAUAGCGGCGUCGAGCGGCGGACGGGUGAGUAAUGCCUAGGAAAUUGCCCUGAUGUGGGGGAUAACCAUUGGAAACGAUGGCUAAUACCGCAUGAUGCCUACGGGCCAAAGAGGGGGACCUUCGGGCCUCUCGCGUCAGGAUAUGCCUAGGUGG